rnacentral:rRNA from 1 species
GACAGAGGGUGCAAACGUUGUUCGGAAUUACUGGGCGUAAAGCGAGUGUAGGCGGUUUGGUAAGUCGGAUGUGAAAGCCCCGGGCUCAACCCGGGAAGUGCACUCGAUACUGCCAAGCUAGAGUAUCGGAGAGGUUGGUGGAAUUCUCGGUGUAGAGGUGAAAUUCGUAGAUAUCGAGAAGAACACCGGUGGCGAAGGCGGCCAUCUGGACAGAUACUGACGCUGAGACGCGAAAGCGUGGGGAGCAAACAGG